UCUUCUUCCUCUUCUUCUUCUUCUCCCUUAUAGCAAAAAUAAGAAAUAGGGUGUGGAAGCUUUCAAACUUUCGGCCUUGAUUUAAUAGGAAAUUGAACCAAAUUGGAGAUAAUCGGGGAAAAGCCAAAAUUAUCGAUUAGUCUUUGCAAAUUCAACUUGUUGGCUAAUUUGACCAGGUAAAUUCAUAUGGUAUGAUUAUGUUUAAAUUUUUGUGUAUUUUAAUUAUGAAUAUGUGUAUGUUUGGUUGAAAUUUGGAUUAUUUGUGAUUUGGUAUAAAAGGUGAGAUUGGGACUAAAUUGUAAAGAAAUGUAUUUAUAUAUAUGUCUGUGUGUUGAAAAUGUUUGGGUGAACUUGGUAAAGGUUUUGUGCACACUUGUAUGAAUUGAUUACCGAUGAUUACCAAAAUCUAACAUUUUUCGCGGACUCGAAGAUACAUGUGACACAAGUUUAGCCUGGAAUGGUAACUUGACAUCGAAAAUUGAACCUUUAAUGACACAUUUGAUUGCUUGGUUAGCUUGGACGAGCAAUUGAUGUAUCGAAGAUACUUGUGACACAAGUUUAGCCUGGACUGGUAACCUGAUGUCAAUUUAAAGGUUUAGCUCAGAUGAGUAACUUGACAUGUGUAUAUAUAUAUUCAGCUCGGGUAAUUGGUAUAAUAGGAUAUUUGUGUAUGAUAUGAAUUUGAUGUUCAAAUAGUUAAAUGUUGAAUUGAUUAUGAAUGUAGUAUUGAAAAGUUGAUUUUAGUGGAUUGAAAUGAUAUAUGUUUGAAUUACCAUUUGAUGUGACUAUAUGUUAAACUCACUUUAUUGAUAUGUGAUACCAUGUUUAGGCAAAUAUUGCCAAUCUAAGUAGCUUAUUUGAUUAGUUGUAAUAUGAGGUAAGUUUUUGUUUAAUGCAUAUGAACUUACUAAGCAUUCAAUAUGCUUACCCCAUUAUUUUUUCCCUUUUCCUAUGGAUUUCAACUUGCGGAACGUGUCUAGCAGAUCGUCCAGAAGCUCGCACUAUCCUGUUUUUAAAUUGGUAGCUUUUCAAUCAUUUUAAGUUCGAUUUUGUAGAAUGUAUAUAGGUGUUUGAAUAAGUUAACUUGAAAUGAUAAAUGUUAGCUUGCAACCUUUAUAAUGCUUGAUUUUGGUAAGGUUAAUGCUUAUAUGAAAUGUUAAGUUUUUGGCAAAGUUAGUGCCUAAUUGAAUGUAUAUGAUUUGGUAAACAUGUUUGAUACAUGUAUGUGACAAUUGAAAUGGUAUGAUUGAAUGUGAA